CGGUGUUUAACUGGCGUGAUGUGGGACGUCCUACCGGUGGGCUUAGCCUCGCGAGGGGCGGCCCAACUAAUAUCCCGUCGCGGUGCUCUUUACUGAGUGUCGAGUCGGGCCGGUACGUUUACUUUGAACAAAUUAGAGUGCUUAAAGCAGGCUAUCCUCGCCUGAAUACUGCGUGCAUGGAAUAAUGGAAUAGGACCUCGGUUCUAUUUUGUUGGUUUUCGGAACCCCGAGGUAAUGAUUAAUAGGGACAGAUGGGGGCAUUCGUAUUGCGACGUUAGAGGUGAAAUUCUUGGAUCGUCGCAAGACGGACAGAAGCGAAAGCAUUUGCCAAAAAUGUUUUCAUUAAUCAAGAACGAAAGUUAGAGGUUCGAAGGCGAUCAGAUACCGCCCUAGUUCUAACCAUAAACGAUGCCAGCUAGCGAUCCGCCGAAGUUCCUCCGAUGACUCGGCGGGCAGCUUCCGGGAAACCAAAGCUUUUGGGUUCCGGGGGAAGUAUGGUUGCAAAGCUGAAACUUAAAGGAAUUGACGGAAGGGCACCACCAGGAGUGGAGCCUGCGGCUUAAUUUGACUCAACACGGGAAACCUCACCAGGCCCAGACACCGGAAGGAUUGACGGAUUGAUAGCUCUUUCUUGAUUCGGUGGGUGGUGGUGCAUGGGCCGUUCUUAGUUGGUGGAGCGAUUUGUCUGGUUAAUUCCGAUAACGAACGAGACUCUAGCCUGCUAAAUAGGCGUACCUUAUGGUAUCGCGAAGGCCCCCGGCUUCGGCCGGUGGGUUUUUACUACCAACGUACAAACAAAUCUUCUUAGAGGGACAGGCGG
rnacentral:rRNA from 1 species